GCAGUCGAACGGUGAAGCAGAGCUUGCUCUGUGGAUCAGUGGCGAACGGGUGAGUAACACGUGAGCAACCUGCCCCUGACUCUGGGAUAAGCGCUGGAAACGGCGUCUAAUACCGGAUAUGAGCUGCGAUCGCAUGGUCAGCAGUUGGAAAGAUUUUUCGGUCUGGGAUGGGCUCACGGCCUAUCAGCUUGUUGGUGAGGUAAUGGCUCACCAAGGCGUCGACGGGUAGCCGGCCUGAGAGGGUGACCGGCCACACUGGGACUGAGACACGGCCCAGACUCCUACGGGAGGCAGCAGUGGGGAAUAUUGCACAAUGGGCGAAAGCCUGAUGCAGCAACGCCGCGUGAGGGAUGACGGCCUUCGGGUUGUAAACCUCUUUUAGCAGGGAAGAAGCGAAAGUGACGGUACCUGCAGAAAAAGCGCCGGCUAACUACGUGCCAGCAGCCGCGGUAAUACGUAGGGCGCAAGCGUUAUCCGGAAUUAUUGGGCGUAAAGAGCUCGUAGGCGGUUUGUCGCGUCUGCUGUGAAAUCCCGAGGCUCAACCUCGGGUCUGCAGUGGGUACGGGCAGACUAGAGUGCGGUAGGGGAGAUUGGAAUUCCUGGUGUAGCGGUGGAAUGCGCAGAUAUCAGGAGGAACACCGAUGGCGAAGGCAGAUCUCUGGGCCGUUACUGACGCUGAGGAGCGAAAGGGUGGGGAGCAAACAGGCUUAGAUACCCUGGUAGUCCACCCCGUAAACGUUGGGAACUAGUUGUGGGGUCCAUUCCACGGAUUCCGUGACGCAGCUAACGCAUUAAGUUCCCCGCCUGGGGAGUACGGCCGCAAGGCUAAAACUCAAAGGAAUUGACGGGGACCCGC
rnacentral:rRNA from 1 species